rnacentral:rRNA from 1 species
UACGGGGGGGGCAAGCGUUGUUCGGAAUUACUGGGCGUAAAGGGCUCGUAGGCGGCCAACUAAGUCGGAUGUGAAAUCCCCAGGCUUAACCUGGGAACUGCGUCCGAUACUGGUUGGCUUGAAUCCGGGAGAGGGACGUGGAAUUCCAGGUGUAGCGGUGAAAUGCGUAGAUAUCUGGAGGAACACCGGUGGCGAAGGCGACGUCCUGGACCGGCAUUGACGCUGAGGCGCGAAAGCCAGGGGAGCAAACGGG